rnacentral:rRNA from 1 species
GACGAACGCUGGCGGCGUGCCUAAUACAUGCAAGUUGAGCGCUGAAGGUUGGUACUUGUACCAACUGGAUGAGCAGCGAACGGGUGAGUAACGCGUGGGGAAUCUGCCUUUGAGCGGGGGACAACAUUUGGAAACGAAUGCUAAUACCGCAUAAAAACUUAAAACACAAGUUUUAAGUUUGAAAGAUGCAAUUGCAUCACUCAAAGAUGAUCCCGCGUUGUAUUAGCUAGUUGGUGAGGUAAAGGCUCACCAAGGCGAUGAUACAUAGCCGACCUGAGAGGGUGAUCGGCCACAUUGGGACUGAGACACGGCCCAAACUCCUACGGGAGGCAGCAGUAGGGAAUCUUCGGCAAUGGACGAAAGUCUGACCGAGCAACGCCGCGUGAGUGAAGAAGGUUGUCGGAUCGUAAAACUCUGUUGGUAGAGAAGAACGUUGGUGAGAGUGGAAAGCUCAUCAAGUGACGGUAACUACCCAGAAAGGGACGGCUAACUACGUG